CCUACGGGUGGCAGCAGUGAGGAAUAUUGGUCAAUGGACGCAAGUCUGAACCAGCCAUGCCGCGUGCAGGAAGACGGCUCUAUGAGUUGUAAACUGCUUUUGUACGAGGGUAAACGCAGAUACGCGUAUCUGUAUGAAAGUCUCGUACGAAUAAGGAUCGGCUAACUCCGUGCCAGCAGCCGCGGUAAUACGGAGGAUUCAAGCGUUAUCCGGAUGUAGUGGGUUUAAAGGGUGCGUAGGCGGUCGGAUAAGUUAGAGGUGAAAUCCCGAGGCUCAACUUCGGAAUUGCCUCUGAUACGGUUCGGCUAGAGAGUAGUUGCGGUAGGCGGAAUGUAUGGUGUAGCGGUGAAAUGCUUAGAGAUCAUACAGAACACCGAUUGCGAAGGCAGCUUACCAAGCUACUUCUGACGUUGAGGCACGAAAGCGUGGGGAGCAAACAGGAUUAGAUACCCCUUGUAGUC
rnacentral:rRNA from 1 species